AUUCUGGCUCAGGAUGAACGCUAGCUACAGGCUUAACACAUGCAAGUCGAGGGGCAGCAUGUGGUGCUGCAACCAAUGAUGGCGACCGGCGCACGGGUGAGUAACGCGUAUCCAACCUUCCCCUUAGUAGAGGAUAGCCCGGCGAAAGUCGGAUUAAUACUCUAUGUUCUUCAAUGCGGGCAUCUAAGUUGAAGCAAAGAUUUAUCGCUAAGGGAUGGGGAUGCGUCUGAUUAGGUUGCAGGCGGGGUAACGGCCCACCUGGCCUACGAUCAGUAGGGGUUCUGAGAGGAAGGUCCCCCACACUGGUACUGAGACACGGACCAGACUCCUACGGGAGGCAGCAGUGAGGAAUAUUGGUCAAUGGGCGCGAGCCUGAACCAGCCAAGUAGCGUGCAAGGACGACUGCCCUAUGGGUUGUAAACUGCUUUUAUCAGGGAAUAAAGUGAGGCACGCGUGCCUUUUUGUAUGUACCUGAUGAAUAAGGACCGGCUAAUUCCGUGCCAGCCGCGGC
rnacentral:rRNA from 1 species